rnacentral:rRNA from 1 species
ACGCUCGACACCUACGGAGGCAGCAGUGGGGAAUAUUGCACAAUGGGGGAAACCCUGAUGCAGCGACGCCGCGUGAGCGAAGAAGUAUUUCGGUAUGUAAAGCUCUAUCAGCAGGGAAGAAACUGACGGUACCUGACUAAGAAGCACCGGCUAAAUACGUGCCAGCAGCAGCGGUAAUCUGAGCGGGCUGGCAAGGC